UUAUCCAUUUAAUAGUGUUAUGUCCUUGAGAUUCAUGUUUUAGUUGGAUAUUUCUCAUGAAUGAUCUGAUCUUGAGAUGCAGGUUUAAGGUAUUGAGCAAGGUUUUAAAAACCCUUAACUCAAAUGGGACUUGAUAUGGACCCUAUAACAACUCCAUAUUUGGUUGAGCACUCAAUGUGGGCUUUUGUGUUUAAGGAGCCAAUUCUCUAGUCUGAUUUGUAAGUUUUCUGCAAAGUUGAACGUGUGACUGAGUCAUUCCUUGUUUAUUGAUGCAAGAACUUGAUUGAGUUUUAAACUCCACUGCUGAGUUUUAAUCAUGCUAUCCAAUGUUUCUUUUCUUGUUGUUGCUGCCUUGCGGGGUUUGUAGCAUGUGAGACGAGCAGCCUUACGUGAUUUCAAUGCUAAAAGUGCCGAGGUUUUGUGCGAGAACACUAUAUUGAGACCCAGCCACUGGAACUACAAUUUUCUUAUGUUAUAUAAAAUCCAAGGAGUCAUGGCUAUCCUUUACUCAAGAGGCUUAUAUCUUACAUAACAACAAGGUUAACUCCCCACCACCAGAUUGGUUGGAUCCAUCAUUACAGCUGAAUUUUCCUCUAGUUGACGUGGACAAGGGCCUUUACAUCUCCCGGAACUUCCCACCCCAACUCACUGGAUGGAAUUUUGUCAGUGGUGACCCCUUUGAAGAGAGCUGGAAAGGAAUCAAAUGCUCUGGAGAUGCCAUCCAAUCCAACUAAAUCCUUGGAAUGGAUUGAGUUUCAUAGUAUCCCUUUGUCUUAGUGUUGCACAUUUUAUUUCUUCUUACUUUUGUAUGGUUCUUUGUCAUCUCACUCACUGAUCCACAUUUUAUUUUCUGUUUCAGUGGCAUUUCCUCAGGUAGGGUUGCUUAGGCAAUGUGUCUGAACUUUGAAUGAUCUCCAGCUUAUCUUGUUUUGAAUACCCAGCAUGCUUGCUCACUUUUUAUCCUCCACUUUUUUUUUUUUUUUGGGAAAAGUCCGAUUUCACUUUUAUGCAUUUAUGAUCUUCUUCUUUUCUUUUUCUUUUUCUUUUUCUUUCUUUCCUUUCUUUCUUUUUAAUCUGUAGAUGGGAAAUGCUGCAGCUGCAUUUGGUGGAGGCUUGCCUCCUGGAAUAAGUGGUACAAAUGACAGGUGCACCAUCCUUGUCUCUAAUCUGGAUCCUGGCUGUGUUUCAGGGAUUCAAGCAUUUGAAAUGAUGGCAAUUGCUGCAGUAGGGAACAACCUCAUAUGUUUAUAUUAAACUGGAAUGGUGUAUUGAGUUUUGUUUAUGUUGAUUAAAUAAUAAUAUUCUUUGGGGAUAUCCUGCUUUAUGGAAGUGAGAUUCUUCAAAUGUCUGUAAGAUAGCAUUCUCUUAUAAACAUAAUAAACAAGAGCACAUCUUCAAAAAUAUUCAUCCCUGUUUGGGGCAUGGAAAGUUAUUUCAUACUUUGGUCGAGUUUGAUGCAUGAUGCACAGGCACUUAGAGAUCUGUAAACGCGACGUGCAUUAUCUCAUUAUGACAUUCAAAUUGUGGGGUCCACUGUAGAUAGAGGUUAUAAUCUGAAAAUCAGAUUGGUUCAACAAUCUUAACAUUGAUUUGUGGAAACUUAUUUGUUGAACAGUUGGAUUUUUUUUUUUUUUUUUCAAUUUUAACCAUCUGAUACUUGUCCACCAAUUGGCGAGUUUGGUAAUCAAAUCAAUGUAAUUUUUGGAUUAUGAUGCAUCUAAGUUUGGUGCUGACAGAUUAAUUUGAGUUACAUGUAUGCCACAUAUAUCAACCAUCACAUCUUGCCAAAGUUGUUAUGCCUGAAAGCUACCUCUACAGAAAUACUUUACAGAUAAAUAUAUCCCUUGAAUUUGUGGAUGAUGUGAUUAUGACAAUAUAUCUCAUGAUUUACAAGAUAAGCCUAUAUUUUCCUCAUAAAAUGAGCUUAUGGUCCAAUUUGACAGAUUGUCUUUUACUAUUUUCUCUGUGUAGUUUUGUGUUCAUGCUACUUCUAUCAGCUACAUGAAUACAGAACUGAUCCUUAUCCAUUUGUCUUAACAAUAGUGAGAUUGAGGAAAGUGAACUCUCUGAUGCAAGCUCAACAAAUUUGAAAGAAGAUGGAUCUUCACCAUCCCUAACUCUGAUCAGAAAGCAUGGAUGGUAUUCAGAUAAACUUUCAUAUCUAAAAGGAAAAGUGCCUUCCUUGAUAGGAAUUCCAACAUCAGUUGCCCUGCCCUUUGGAGUUUUUGAGAAGGUUUUGUUAGAUGAUUCAAACCAGAAAUGACAUAGGUGAUUAUCAAGCAAAUGCAAGAUGUGUAUGCCUAGAUGAGGGCUUCGCUUAGUGAGG